CUCUCCCCGUGUUGGCGUGGGUUUCCUCCGGGUGCUCCGGUUUUCCCAAGUCCAAAGACAUAGAUUGGUGUACGCUGAUGGUCUGCUGAGAAUUCUGCUGAGUUGAAGGGAUCCUCCUGUCAGACAACCUCUCCAAAGUACAAUAGGACUAGGUUCCCACUACAAGGAUUAGAUUUGGCUACUGCAGUCACGGUUUGGGCCAGCCUCACUUG